CGUAGGGGCAAGCGUUGUCCGGAUUUAUUGGGGCGUAAAGGGCGCGCAGGCGGCCUUCUAAGUCAGUUGUGAAAGGUCUCGGCUCAACCGAGGAGUGGCAGCUGGAACUGGAAGGCUUGAGUGCAGGAGAGGAGAGCGGAAUUCUCGGUGUAGCGGUGGAAUGCGUAGAGAUCGGGAGGAACACCAGUGGCGAAGGCGGCUCUCUGGCCUGUAACUGACGCUGAGGCGCGAAAGCGUGGGGAGCAAACAGGAUU
rnacentral:rRNA from 1 species